rnacentral:rRNA from 1 species
AUUGAACGAGGGAGGAAGGAGGUACAAAGGCAAGUCGAACGGUAACAGGCCUUCGGGUGCUGACGAGUGGCGAACGGGUGAGUAAUGCAUCGGAACGUGCCCAGAGGUGGGGGAUAACGCAGCGAAAGCUGUGCUAAUACCGCAUGUGAUCUGAGGAUGAAAGCGGGGGACCAGGCAGCAAUGUUUGGCCUCGCGCCUUUGGAGCGGCCGAUGUCAGAUUAGGUAGUUGGUGGGGUAAAGGCCUACCAAGCCGACGAUCUGUAGCUGGUCUGAGAGGACGCACAGCCACACUGGGACUGAGACACGGCCCAGACUCCUACGGGAGGCAGCAGUGGGGAAUUUUGGACAAUGGGCGCAAGCCUGAUCCAGCAAUGCCGCGUGCGGGAAGAAGGCCUUCGGGUUGUAACCCUCUUUUGUACGGAACGAAAAGGCUCUGGCUAAUACCUGGGGCUGAUGACGGUACCGUAAGAAUAAGCACCGGCUACCUACGUC